AACCACAUUUAUUCUGUGACUAAUCCAUCAGAAUAUCUACUUCUUAAAGCAUACUAGACUACUGAGAGGUUAAGCCUCUAUGUUUUGUCAUAUUAAAACUCUCACUGCAAAAGGUUGGAAGCAGCCCCUGAAGAAACCAAUGAUAGUUUAAAUCAGCAGAGAGGUUCAUAAAGCAUUCAGGAAGCUCCCAGCUGGGCCCGUGCACAACAUGGAAAGUUUACUUACAGUUCGUAUGUCAUGAUGAGAAUUACUGCUAUCCUGUGUGUCCUUUCACCAAUCUGAGAAAGUUGCUGACAGCAGAGGUGGUUGUUAUGGGGACAGCAAGCAGCAUUGUACUUCAUUUGUUCUCGAUGAUCCAAAACAUGGAUGUUUCCGCUCAUUGUAGAAUCACGCUGUGCAAUCCUGUUCUGCUCUUGAAUGCACGUUCUACUGCUUCCUUGGGCUUGUUUUCUUCUUUUGGUAAAUUCUUCAGGGCAGUACAGGGAUAAGAGAACAAUCAGUGAUUUCUCUGAGCACACACAGCAGCAUGGUUAUUUUGAAAUACAGCUCUUCUGUAGUUCUGUACCGUAACUACCCACACCCUCUCCUCCUCUUUGCAAGUGCUGUGUUUUCUGCUACUCUUUCAUUUAAAACAUUGUCUAAAACCUGAAGAAAUUCUGUGAAAUAACUCUCAAUUGCUGCUAACAGUGGCUAGCAACCAGCUACUAGCAACUGCGAAGGUCUAACACUAACAAAUCCUGUGUGUUUCAUUGCAUUAGAGGUGAAUUAUCUUAUUGAGAGUAACGGGGAAAGGGGAUCUUCUGGGCUUUGAUGAAAUCUCUCUGUCCCUUAACUCUGUUUAGAGCAGCAGUGAUUGCCAUAAUAUUUAAAUCUAUAGGAACACACCUCUCCAACAGCACAUCUCUCCAGUGCCAUUAAAACAGCAAUCACAGCAGUGGCAUAUAUAAUUUUUAACAUAAUCUCCACUGACUCUUGACGUUUUCAAGACAUAGCCUUCUUUGUGUUUCAGGGUGAUGGAGAGUGGGGCAGGAACAUGAAAACUGCGUGGAUUCUUUCUAGAACAUGAAUUCUAAUUCCUUUUGUUUCUUCUUAGAUAUUAACACAGAAGCAGAUAAUUCCAUCUGAGCCUCACAGAAGAACCAUGGUAACCAUCCAGAGCCAUGCUGAUUUCAGUGGGCUCUUAUGUCUGUCAUCCCAGCAUAAAUCAGAGCUGUCAUACGGGAUUUCCAAAUCUGAAAUAUUAUGGCCUUUGGAUGUAUAUAUUGUACAACACAAAUAAAAAAUGCCCUAAAAUUCA